rnacentral:rRNA from 1 species
CCUACGGGGGGCAGCAGUGAGGAAUAUUGGUCAAUGGGCGGGAGCCUGAACCAGCCAAGUCGCGUGAAGGAAGAAGGUACUUAGUAUUGUAAACUUCUUUUAUAGGGGAAUAAAGGUAUCCACGUGUGGAUAUUUGCAUGUACCCUAUGAAUAAGCAUCGGCUAACUCCGUGCCAGCAGCCGCGGUAAUACGGAGGAUGCGAGCGUUAUCCGGAUUUAUUGGGUUUAAAGGGUGCGUAGGUUGUUUUUUAAGUCAGCGGUGAAAGUUUGUGGCUCAACCAUAAAAUUGCCGUUGAAACUGGAAGACUUGAGUGUGUUUGAGGUAGGCGGAAUGCGUGGUGUAGCGGUGAAAUGCAUAGAUAUCACGCAGAACUCCGAUUGCGAAGGCAGCUUACUAAGCCAUAACUGACACUGAAGCACGAAAGCGUGGGGAUCAAACAGGAUUAGAUACCCCUGUAGUC